GGCCGUAGCCUAGUGGUUAAGGCGAUAGACUAGAAUUCUUUUGGGAUAUUCCCGCGUAGGUUCGAAUUCUGCCGGCGACG
rnacentral:tRNA from 1 species